UCCUUGUAGACGGAUUGAACGGCAACGCAUAGCGAGAAUGUGACAAGGA
ncrna:unclassified sequences DTF2693-FD RNA